ensembl:lncRNA
CUCUUCUUUCCCUUAUUCUGUUUCUCCCUACAUUACACCCUGUAUGUCUUCUCCCUGCUCAUUCUAUCUCUCUCACCUCUCUUUCUCCUUCUUUCAUUGUUCCUACCUUUCGUUGUUGUACUCCUCUUCUUGCUCAUGCUAUCUCUCUCUCUAUAUUUAUAUAUAUCCUACUCUAACCCACUCUCUCUCAUGUUCUCAUUCAUACUCAGUCACUCUAUCUCUCCCCCCCUCUCUCGCUCUCUCUCUCUCUUACACUUUCUCUCUCUUUAAAUAUUUCUAAUAUCCUUUUCUAUUUCUCUUCUUUUUAUUGUUCUGUUUUUCUGUUUCUUUCUAUAUGCCCUGUGUAUCUUCUUCAUGCUCAUUCUAUCUCUCUCUUACCUUUCUAUCUAUUACUUUCUUCUAUUUCUACCUAUUUUACUCCUCUCCUUGCUCGUGCUAUAUCUCGCUUUAUUUUUGUCUACCCCACUCUCUCUCUUAUACUCUCUCUCUCUCUCUCACAGUCAUUGCAUCUCUCCCUCUCUCCCUCUCUCCCUCUCUCUCUCUCUCUCUCUCUCUCUCUCUUUCUCUCUCCCUCCCACCCAGCUCUCAUUUUCACACCCUCCUCUGUUCAGACACAGAGACUCCUCCCUCUCUCCUCCCUCUCUCUCUCUCUCUCUCUCUCUCUCUCUCUCUCUCUGGCUGUGUAAGGGUGUGUGUGUGUGUGUGUUCUGGGCUCAGUCAGCAGUGUAUCUCUCAGCAGCAGGGGCAGCUUCAUUCUCUCCUGCAGGAUGUCGGGCCCUCGGACCAGCUCCAUACUGCUGCUCUUCUCCAUCGCCUUCCUGCAGAGCACACUGCUGAAGGCCAAGCCUCUCUCUGCCAUGCACGGGGGUGGAGUCGUGCGCCACCGUCGUGACCUGCGUGACUCGCUGCCCUACGAGGCUCAGAUGAUGUCCUACCCCCCUGCCGACUUCAAGGGGCGAGGAAACGAGCUGUACUACCAGCCGGAGGCGGUGAGGGCGCAGGGGCUGGGCCAGGCCCUCCAGCGGCUGAUGGAGAACGACCAGAGGCGGGAGCAGGAGGCGGCUUACCUGUCAGGUUUGCUCCGCCUCCUGAACGAGGCCGAGAACAACGGCCAGGGGAAGCAGGAGGAAGAGGAGGAGGAAGAUGAAGGAGACUUCCAGGGGCCGUAUCCAUCAGACUACGACGAGACGGAGCAGACGGUCAGCAUGGCUAAACCUCGGGCUCUGCUGGACCCUCAGCUGGCUGAAGCUCUGCUGAACCGCUACAGGCAGGAGAGACUUCUGCAGGCUGGGAUCAAUCCCAACUCCAACCGCCUGCCAGAAAGAGAGCAGGACAGGGACCAGGAGAUGCUCCGGUACCUGGUUGAGAAAAUCCUCUCCAGCCUUGGACCUGGAAACCAGCCGAGCCAACCCUCCAACCGCCGAGCCAAACGGGACGUGAGCGCCGUGUCCAGCAGCGUACGAGGCGGAGCUACCCCUCUGAGACGAUCCCGGCGCUCCGUGGACUCCGCCCCCAUGCCCUCGCCCAAUUCCGAGGCCUCUCUGCUGCGGGUGAAGAGGCUGGGGGACGAGGGCGAUGAUGAAGGGUUCGCCGCUCAGAGCAGCAGAGCGCCCCACGCUGGCCUGCAGAGGAUGAAGCGCAUCGACACUGACCUGCCCCCUCCCCCCAAACACAGCCGCAAGCGUCGGGCAGUGACCUACGACCCCGACCUCAUCGCUCAGCACAUCCUACAGUACCUACCAGCAUAG